rnacentral:misc_RNA from 1 species
GAUGAAGAACGUAGCGAAAUGCGAUAAGUAAUGUGAAUUGCAGAAUUCAGUGAAUCAUCGAAUCUUUGAACGCACCUUGCACCCUUUGGCAUUCCGAAGGGUAUGCUCGUUUGAGUGUCAUUGUACUCUCACACUCUCCGAUCCUAUGGAUUCGGGGAGCGGUGGACUUGGGUGUUGCUGCCUUUCCUUGUGGCUCACCUCAAAUGUGUCAGUGCACCUCUUGGUUGGACAUAGUACGGCGUGAUAAGUGUCUUCGCCGGCACCUCGCAAGAGGGUGGCCGAUCGGGAGCUCUGUGCUUUCAAACCGUCUUCGGACAAUUUCUGACAACUUGACCUCAAAUCGAGUAGGACUACCCGCUGAACUUAAGCAUAUCAAUAAGGGAGGA